rnacentral:rRNA from 1 species
UACGUAGGGCGCAAGCGUUGUCCGGAAUUAUUGGGCGUAAAGAGCUCGUAGGCGGCCUGUUACGUCUGCUGUGAAAUCCCGGGGCUUAACCCCGGGCGUGCAGUGGAUACGGGCAGGCUGGAGGCAGGCAGGGGAGAACGGAAUUCCCGGUGUAGCGGUGAAAUGCGCAGAUAGUCGGGAGGAACACCGGUGGCGAAGGCGGUUCUCUGGGCCGUGUACUGGACGCUGAGGAGCGAAAGCGUGGGGAGCGAACAGG